rnacentral:rRNA from 1 species
GAGAGUAGUACUAGGAUGGGUGACCUCCUGGGAAGUCCUCGUGUUGCAUUCCC